UGAAAUUCAAAGAAAAAGAGAGUAACUGCAUGGAAUCAGUAUAGCGAGUCAGGGUUGGUGAAAGCCUGAACAAGGUUUCUGUGGUGAAACGGACUUUUGAGAAGCUUUCCUGAACGAAAGAGUAGGGAUAGCCGGGGUCGUCCCCGUUAACAACUUCAAGUGGCUGAUAAAGCUAUAAGAGUGGUACCGCGAGCCUAACCUCGUCUCUUUU
rnacentral:ncRNA from 1 species